GCCUACGGGGCGCAGCAGUAAGGAAUAUUGGACAAUGGGCGCAAGCCUGAUCCAGCCAUGCCGCGUGCAGGAUGACGCAUCUAUGGUGUGUAAACUGCUUUUGUACGAGAAGAAACACCAGUUCGUGAACUGGCUUGACGGUAUCGUAAGAAUAAGGAUCGGCUAACUCCGUGCCAGCAGCCGCGGUAAUACGGAGGAUCCAAGCGUUAUCCGGAAUCAUUGGGUUUAAAGGGUCCGUAGGCGGCCUUAUAAGUCAGUGGUGAAAUCUCCCCGCUCAACGGGGAAACGGCCAUUGAUACUGUAGGGCUUGAAUUAUUAGGAAGUAACUAGAAUAUGUAGUGUAGCGGUGAAAUGCUUAGAGAUUACAUGGAAUACCAAUUGCGAAGGCAGGUUACUACUAAUGGAUUGACGCUGAUGGACGAAAGCGUGGGUAGCGAACAGGAUUAGAUACCCGUGUAGUCC
rnacentral:rRNA from 1 species